GUUUACUACUAAUUUAUAACGUUUAAAACAUUAUAAACUUAACUUUUCAUUAAGUGAUACCCCUAUUUAGCUUACAAAAAUACCAUCAAACGAUAUUAACUCUGAUAUUCAUUAUGAAACCUAAGAUGGUCACACCAUGUUUAUCAUUUUCCUUCAUUCUCAUUUGCAACUGUGCUUUUUCGUUGAUGUUGUGAGAACAGUUAAAAUACAUAAAAUACAUACAAACAUAAAGUGAGUGUAAAUCAACUAAUGUCUUCGUAUUCAAAACAACAAACCAGUGGACCUCAUUAUGAAACGAACUCCCAUUUAUGGACCCAAAGGAAUGAGCCCAGGACAGGCGGUGGUCAAAUGGAUGCCAGCCAGUCAGUCAGUUAGUCAGCCAGUCAGCUAGCCAUCCAGCCAGCAGAAUAAAUCGGAUUAAUAAUUAGAAGCAAACAAGGACAGGACAACCGCUUGGAGUUUGCUUAAGCAGCGCGCCACUAAAUUAAAAAUCUCCCAGGGGCAAUUCAUCUUGGCAAAGUCAGAAAAAAAGAAUACCAAGAAAAAGCCCCAAUGAAAAACCCCAUUGAAAAACCCCACUGAAACCAAAAAAAAAAGAUAUAGGAAUGGAAACCCCCAACAGGCGAUGAUCAAUGCCCCAUUGUUGAGAGAUGGCUGCUAAAGUUUGACCAGACUUGCAGUUAACCCAUUAAAAGAGGUUCCUAAGCGAGGUUCUAAUUUUCCACCAUGAAUGACUUGGUCAAGCGAUGGAAAAGAAAAGGUUUUGAAAAUGUGAGAAACCCAAAGACAGACUGAGGCUGGUAAAUAAAUCCUUGAGCAAAGCCCCCCCACCAAAGCCUCGCAAUGAGUUUACUUGGAGAGGAGAAAUGAUAAAGGAAAAGCAGUGCGGAAAAGUGAAAAUCAGACUGGAGCGCGCGCCUCUUCAUUCUUUGCUUUGUACUCCACCAAGGCACGCAGCUGCCAAGGCUCAAAAGCGAAUCAAAGCCUUCGUGAAUGGUCUUAGGACAACAUUAAAUAUGACAGCGUUUGGAUGAAAAUGGCUUUAUGACCUAACUACUCAUCACUACUAAACAGCUACAAAAGACAAGCCAAGAAGGUUGCCCAGGUGGGACAUGGAUGGGAGGUAGCAUUGGCUGAGCUGGUCAUGAGCCAAAUCCGCUGCCAGACAUCGAGCGUCUAUGGCAACAUAAACAUUUGCCAGCCAAGAGUCGCCGGCUUGGCCUCAGGAUGUCGGAGGACAUGGAAGGACAUGGAGCAGCCUAGUUGGUAGCUAGAAUUACGGAAUAUUAGUUGCUCCACUUGGCCUCUCGCCACUGCCACUGCCACUGCCACUGACAUGAACCAUUUAAGAGCAGCGCCUCGAGGUGAGACCUGCCAGAUAUGUUCCCAUGGCAUUGGCAGAAAUGAUUCCUGAAGGUGAUAAUAAGAACCAGGAAGGGUAUACUUUUUUGAAGGAUACUCGAAGGACUCAACUAUCUGUUCUUUCAGGAAAAUCAAAAUAAGAAUUGGAUCCACAGCCAGGACACGGCCGGUCGAUGGCGUUGGCUGCUGCCGUUCCUGCUGCUGCUCAUUGAAACGCAUUUGCAGUGCAGCCGGAGCAAAGUGCGUUCACACACACCAGCUCAUAUGCACACACACACACACACACUGCUGGGCUUUACACACACAACUGCACUAAAGUCGGAACCAAAGUGUUCUGAAUGCGGAUAUAUCGAUUAUUCGAUUAUUCCUGACCUCCCAUCAAAGGGAAAAAUGCAAAGACUGCUGGAAAUAACUUUUUUAAAGAAAAGAAACACAUCACAUACAUCAAUUUUAUAUAGGGUAACAAUAAUUCCCAACUUCUUCUAGCUGAAAAGUGGUGACUUAGGCGCUGUUGACCAUCCAUAAAUCAGUCAAGUCACUUCAUGGUGUGUGUGUGAUUGUGUUAGUAAAGUGCCUACAAGUGGUAUGAUGGAUCUCCUCGUCAUAUUGAUGGUACCUGGACUCCAGGCGGAGGCAGUGCAUCAUGGAUUUUUUUUCGGAAAUCCAUAUUUGGGAUUUUUGAGGAUACUUAAUGCUG